ACACAGGGAAGGAGGUGGUCCGCGAAAUUGAUAGCUUCAUGGACAUGUGAGGUGGCUGCGCGCUAGCAGCAGUGGCUCGGAAGAGCUGGCGACAUCGCGCGCUGGCGAAACCCCCGCAGCCACCCGGCCCCCGAGCUCUCGGUCUGUCCAACCGGGAACGCGCUCGGGGGCCGCUCCAU
rnacentral:sRNA from 1 species